rnacentral:rRNA from 1 species
UACGGGGGGGCAAGCGUUGUUCGGAAUUACUGGGCGUAAAGGGCUCGUAGGCGGCCAACUAAGUCAGACGUGAAAUCCCUCGGCUUAACCGGGGAACUGCGUCUGAUACUGGAUGGCUUGAGGUUGGGAGAGGGAUGCGGAAUUCCAGGUGUAGCGGUGAAAUGCGUAGAUAUCUGGAGGAACACCGGUGGCGAAGGCGACAUCCUGGACCUGUACUGACGCUCAUGCACGAAAGCGUGGGGAGCAAACAGG